UCGUCAUCAAUUAGGAUGCCAAACUUGCUGAUGUGCUAUACUAAACUCAGCUUGAACUGCCUGUUUUGUUUCAGCCAAAGUAUCGAAAGAGGAAAAUGAUCACUUUGCGAGCAAGGAAUUGGGUUAUCUAUAUAUAUACUGCCGAUUAUGUUUUCCUGAUCAGAUCGCUAUUGAGGCAGCAAAGUUCAGAUAACCAAGUGGCAACCUGUUUUAAUUGGAGCACUCACCGUAUAGAACACAUGGUCACGGUGGACAUUACCGCUCUCAGUCCCCUGAAGCUUUCUUCUGCCCUGUCCCUGGAAUCAAAGUACAUCUUCUUACUUUAAGCCUCUAAUCAUCUUCUUUCUGUCUUUGCUUCAAAUUCUUGGGUUACAAUUUACUUCCUCCAAGUCCACUAGAAGCUAAGGGACUAUUUGUUUGUUGUCAUCCAUCCGUGAUCCAUAUAUCCCAUUGUCUCUUUCAAAUCAAAGCUGUAGAGGAUGUCCCUGAGGAUGACUCCAAAAUUUUAUUGGCACAUUUAUAUGAGGCAGAGAUAUAACAUUUGGUCAACGGUUAUACGAGAAGGUUCUGGCCUAACUCUUGUUGGAUGGUGUUGCCUUGAAGCACCUGUUACAUGAGGCUUUGGGGCCGGAUAAUCUCUGCAACUAUAGUUGAGCCUUUCUUCUUGAGGUUGGAAGUAGUAACCUGAGAAGAGUUUGUGGCUUGGAUACUCCUUUCCCUCUUUCUUCUACAUGCCAACCAAGAACAAUGCAAGUUUCGUUUCUGGUCUUACAUUCAUUAUUCUUCCAUGGCUCACAAUCUGAUGAGUGUUGACUAAUCUGUACGAAGAUUCUAGAAAAUAUAAGAAAGAAACAAAAACUGUCAUUUUGCUCCUUUGUCAAGUAAUUAUUUUUAACGA